rnacentral:snRNA from 1 species
GUACUUGCUUCGGCAGUACAUAUACUAAAAUUGGAACAAUAUAGGGAAGAGUAGAGCAUGGCCCCUGUACAAGGGUGGCAGGCAAAAUUGCAUUUGCUU